GAUGAACGCUGGCGGCGUGCCUAAUACAUGCAAGUCGAGCGAAUGGAUUGAGAGCUUGCUCUCGAGAAGUUAGCGGCGGACGGGUGAGUAACACGUGGGUAACCUGCCCAUAAGACUGGGAUAACUCCGGGAAACCGGGGCUAAUACCGGAUAACAUUUUGAACCGCAUGGUUCGAAAUUGAAAGGCGGCUUCGGCUGUCACUUAUGGAUGGACCCGCGUCGCAUUAGCUAGUUGGUGAGGUAACGGCUCACCAAGGCAACGAUGCGUAGCCGACCUGAGAGGGUGAUCGGCCACACUGGGACUGAGACACGGCCCAGACUCCUACGGGAGGCAGCAGUAGGGAAUCUUCCGCAAUGGACGAAAGUCUGACGGAGCAACGCCGCGUGGGUGAUGAAGGCUUUCGGGUCGUAAAACUCUGUUGUUAGGGAAGAACAAGUGCUAGUUGAAUAAGCUGGCACCUUGACGGUACCUAACCAGAAAGCCACGGCUAACUACGUGCCAGCAGCCGCCGUAAUAC
rnacentral:rRNA from 1 species